CGCAAUAAUAAUAAUGUUCAAUAAUGAUACCACUAUCGGCGCCGGAGCCGUCGUCCCGACUCCAUCUGCUACAGUUCCAUCCACCAUCUUCCCCGGCACAACCAUCACUUCCAACUCCACCUUCAUCAUCAUCGGACCUCCUCCACCGUUCCCAGCACCUCCUCGGAGCAUCGACUUCACUCCUAUCAAACUAAUAUUCGCCGUCAUAGCAAUCGUCGCCGUUCCCGCCUUAGUUUACUCUCUUUUCUUCACCGCCCCAUGUUCUUCCCGCCGCCGCAACUCCUCUUCCUCCUCCCGCCGUAGCAGCAGCUCUUCCUCCGACGACCCACCUCAUGCAACCGUGGAUAUCGCACCGGCCGAGAAAGACGCCGCCACCGUCGUCGCGCCUGAUGUCGGAAAGAAGUUCAAGAAAGAGACUCAUUCUGAGGAGAUCGGUAACGAAUGCACCGUGUGUAAGUCGGUGCUCGCCGACGGCGAAGAGAUCCGACAACUAAGCGCGUGUAAGCACGAGUUCCACGUGUCUUGUAUCGAGGAGUGGCUCCAAACUCGUUCCAAUUGUCCUAAUUGCAGAGCAGACGUCCCCGUUAAACCGACUGAAGCCGACGCUAACGUUAACGGUAACGUUAACGUGAAUCGCAGCGGUGGCGGAAACCGCCGAGUUUCAGCGACCAAUAGAGAUGACGAUUGGCGUCAAGGUCUACCUGAUGCUUCUAGUCUAGUUUGAUUCAUUUUUUAUAUUGUAAUUUGUUUUUUUCGAUUUCAUGAUUUUUUUUUUUUUGGUAUAAUGAUUUUAUAUUUAUUGUGGCUGUAAACAAAUUUACGUUAAAUCUAAAAAAUAUGAGUUCGUUAAUUUAAUUAUUUUUGGUUGCUUCGUAACUCCGUAAGCAACAGUGUGUCUAAGAUGUGACGUUGACUCUCGACAACUCACAGAAACGCACUACAGCAUGCUCAUCCUACGGCGUGUGAAGAUCCCAUGACAAUCGUGCGGUUCAUAUUCUUCCACGAAAAACAAUCGAACUUUCGUCUUAUUCCCGGCGAUUUAAGCGCUAGGCGUUAUCCUUUAGUCCUCGUGGGAUUAACUUUAACACUAACCUACCGGAAACCUCGGCCGGGCCUGACAAUUUCGGGUUCAGAACCAAAAUUUUUUUUUGAUCCAUGAUCUAAAUAAACAUAAAAAUAUUAAAAGGUGUUUUCAUGUAAUUUGAACUCGUAACCUCCUGCUUUAAUAUACUUAGCUUUUACCACCAAAAUUAGAGAGAAACUUCGCUUAUACUAGUCCCCUAAAGUAAAUAUUUUCUUAUCGACCCCAAAGUCAAUGCUUGAUUUGUUUGGUAUCAGGCACGACCCUGCCGGAAACCAUCCGGUGCUUCCUCUGGUUUAAUACUAACUAUGUUUAAUGUCAAGUGGCGGGUGGCGCUUAGAGUUUUAUGUUUUUAAACAUGCGUGGCCAUGUGACAUUGGUCUGUAAUUUCUAUUGCGAACGAUUGAGUUUAUUUCACGCCGAAAAACAAUUAUUUUAUAGGAUUUGGUCCACAGAAUAUCUUCGAAUUAUUAAAAAAAAAAUCAUAUGAACUUUCUUCCAGAUCCAUUGUGCUUAUACUUAGGAGUAUCUAUGAAAUUAUAGAAACCUUCACCGAAAUCAUAUACAAUAAAACCUCUAUAAAUUAAUAAUGUUGGGACACUAAAAUUUUAUUAAUUUAUAGAGAUAUUAAUUUAUAAAAGUUUCCUUUUUUAGGAUUUUUAAGAUUUUUUUCUAUUUUAAUUAUUUUUUAUUAAUAAAAUAUUUGAUUUUACCGUAUAUAAAUUAUUUAAAUUUUAUAAAAUUGACUUUCAUAUUAUUUUAUUAUCUUAUUUGGUGUAUAUUGUUAUGUUCCAUAGAAUUGUUAUGUGGUUUUCAAUAUAAUUUUACUAAAUAUUAUAAAAAUAUUAAGAAAAAUAAAAGUAUUUUCAUUGUAAAUAUAAAACCAACAAUAUAAUGUUUAGUUUAUACUUAUAUAAAUUAUAUAUAGAGAUAUAUUAUUAAUUUAUGAUUUUAAUGGGACUAUAUAUUUAGAUGGAGGUUUUAAAAAUAUUAUCUCUUUUUUAUUAUUUGAGGUGCAUUUUUAUAAAUAAACUUCACCCUCAUGUAUGAUUAACAACUUUGUCAUUUCUUAGGUGUCAACACCACAAUGCACCUCACAUCCUUUAUUGAAUAAACCUUUAUUGACUAGAUUAAUUACAUGUCAUGCCAUUGCCAAAUAAACCUACAAAGUCAUUAUAUUAUAUGUAACAUUUCAAAUAUAUGGUAAAGACGUUAUGGAUAGUAUAAUUUCGGAGAUUUGAUUAGCCUUCUUACCUUAUUUCAUUCAUUUUAUCACAGCAUUUUUGAUAUUGUGAGAAGUACUAUACAGUUGUAUCUCAUUAAUUUUUACCAAGACAAACCUACUUUCGAAGAACUAAAACUGAUAUGAUAAUAAUUUUUUAAUAAAAAUUUAAUACUUUCAACCAUACGUAAGUGUGUGUAAUUUUAGCUAUAGGUUUGAAAAAAAUAUUUAGAACAACUCCAAUGACAUCAAAUAAUUUUUUGGUGUAAUAUUUUAUUUUUAUAUUGUUUGUUAAAUAUGUAAUCAUACUACAAUAUUAUAUAGUAUUUAAUUGUAAGUUUUUUUAAAAAUAUAGUUAUAUUAUUACAUUUGACUUUUAUAUUUUUGUUAAAUAUGUAAAAUUUUAUUCUUUACAAAAGUCAUUAAUUACAAUUUUAAUUUUUUUUUAAUAUUUUUAAAUUUGUAUAUCAAUCUAUAUGUUAUAAUAAAAAGUUAGUAUAUUUAAUACGUGAUCUACGUGAUUUCCAUUUUAUCUCAAUCUCUUUUAGACUAUAUUUGGUAUCCAAUUCAAUAUGUUUGACCGAAAUAAAGACGGUUAUUGUUUCCUAUAAUACAUUAAAAAUAAUAAUUGUGUCAUUAUGAUAAUGACUAUCAUCAUGAUAUAUCAUAAUCUGUUUGUAAGUUCCGCGCAAUAGUAAUUCCAACGGAUUGAUAUUACAAAGUACAUAUAUUCAAACGAUUUGAUAGUAUGCAAUAUCUCUAUAAAUCAUAAUGACUUGAUAUUAUGAAGGACAUGAUUAUAAUGUUAUUGAUGCAAUCCCUAAACUUAAGCAUGAAUUCCUUGAGAUUAAGAAAUCUCAUUAAAUUUUAGUAGAGUAAUAUUUUUUUGUCAAUCAUUUCAUAUGAAUCGUGUUCUAAACACAAAUAUAUAUUUUAGAUAUAAAACAAAUACAUGGCGAUUGGGUUUUAAUAUUACACUUAGAAAAUUGUAAUUGUUUUCUAAAACACAUGGUGAUUGUCAAUCAUGGCAUUAUGAUUGGAGAAUCUGUUAUGAAUUGUCUUAAAACUUAUAAGAAAAUUUAUUAGUUUCAUAAUUUCCUUUUUUUUUUAAUAUUUAAAAUGAAUUUCAACAACGGUGCAUGCAAAUAUUCGUUUCAAAAUAUUUUCUAAUUAUUGCAUGAUUGAAACAAAUAUUUCCUUAAUUCUGGAACUAAUUUAAUACGCGAUUAAAAAAUAAGUUACAUGAUUGAGAAAAAUAAGGUUCUGCAUGAUUAAUAUAUAUUUCUUAACAUUCAAUUAUGGCAUUUAUCCCCUUACUAUAAACUUUCCAAAAAUUGUAAGGACAUUGUCAAUUAGCAUUACUUGCGUAAUAAUGCAUGAUAUUCAUAAAAUUCUAAAUUAUGAAUGUUUUGAGCUAAAUAUGACACUAAUUCAGAAUAUAUAUAUAUAUAUAUAUAUAUAUAUAUAUAUAUAUGUGUGUGUGUUCUCAUUAAUAUUAUACGAUUUUGGUAAUGGAAAUUUUAAGUCGAAACCGAAUCAUAUAUUCUUUUUUUUUUCAUCGACACUGAUUGACUUUAAUUUAUUUUUGUUGACCAAUAUAUAUGUUUGUUUUCUAUAAUAUUCCAAUGAAUCCACUGUGAAUUUAAAUUACCAAAAUAAUUAUGGCAAGUUUUGAGAAUUAGUCUAAUUUGAAUCACGCAAAUAAAAAUGGCGUUUAGUAAUCAUUAUUUACCCUAUACAGACGCCAAUUAUAUAUAAAUACAAGGGCUUCUAGCUACAUUACCUCACCACCAUCUUCUUCUCAAUACAUUCUUAUCACAAACAUUCUUGCAAGCACAACACUCAUGGCCGGCUUUAACUCCGUUGCCGAUUUGAUUAAUUUUUUUUUUCAAUCUUGAAAGAGCUUAAGUGUUUGGCAUAUGGACCUGAAGUUCACAAAUUUUAUGAUUUCUGAAUUUGUACGAAUGCUAAUCCGCCGGUUUGUGUAUUAAGCUUAUGGAGAAUUGAAUGGGGUGAAGGUUUGUUUCAUUUAAUAUAAAAAUAACAACUUUGUUAUAUGUUAGUGUUGCGUGACUAAGAAAAUAUAUGUGUUACUUUCUUAGGGGACUUCACAUUUAUUACAAACACCGAAGGAUCUCAAAGGCUUUUCGAUGAUGACCUGCCAGAAAUUCAGGAUUUCAUAUUGAGGUGCUCAAUUUGUUUCCUUUUUUUUCACCUUAGCAGUUUGUCUUAUCAUAAUGCUAUUAUAACCAUUUAUAUAAAAACCUUGAGUUAUUUUUUAAUUCAAUUUUAUAUUUAUAUCAUUCCAGGAUUCCACUGGUGGCAUGAUUGCAAGUUAUAUUCGAAGCUCUCAUUUACGAUCGGAUGCAAUCCCAAAAAAAGUUUUAUAUUGCCAAUGUUUCAUUUUAUCUUUUACUUCAUAAUUUAUUUUUAUACGUUUUUGCUUGCUUUUUGAAGCUUAAUUUAUAUAGACAUACACAAGUUCGGCUAAACCCUUUAUCAUAUAAAAUGUAAUAUUUCUUUCUAUGAUUUUUACCUUUCAAAUACCUAUAUAUUUAAAGUGAUAAACUAUUUAAAUUUAUUCAUUCCGCGCAUGGCGCAGAUUAUCACCUAGUUAUCUUAUUAUUUUAUCGAUUUAUAUCAUAUUUUAUACCGGUCCAAGUUGGGACCGACGAAAUUUAUUAAUUUAUCGAGUAUUCAUUUGUAUCCUUCUUAAUUGAUAUCUAGCAGAUCCUUCUAUUAUAUAAGAGAAAUUGCAUUAAAUUUCUUUUCAAUCUUAUAUUUUAAUUAAUUAAUCAUCAGAUAUUAAAGAAAAUCUCAUCCUCAUAAAUUAAUUAGUGUUUUGUUAAAUUGUAUAUCCAUUUUGCCAAUCUAACAAAACCGACACAUUUAAAGUUUAUUAUCUGUGUUCUUUAAUUAGAAAGCUUUUAUCUUUUAUCUACAAUCUUAGUUGUUUAUUUUCUAACCUUUUAAAAUUAUUUUAAAACAGACGUGUCAUAAUUUGAUUCUAAUAACUAAAUUAUAUAUAUGGUCUCUUAAUGUAAUAUAUAUUGACAAAUCUAAAAGUUAAUGAAAAGUAAAAUUUAAAACCCAAAAAUCACAGUAACAUAAUUGCUCUUAUAUUUUGUUUUUAAAACAUAAUUGCUAUCAAAACUAAUGUAAUCUCUUCUAGAGAUUUAGUUUCCUUCUAGGCUUAAAUCAUAAGACAUAUCAAUGUAUGUUUUCUAAUAUAAAUACUCACAUGAGUUUAAUAAUGAUCAUCAGUUAACAACAACCGACCCUAGACUCUUUUCAGGACAAUAACACCAAAACCCAAAACGAAAUCUCAACACCAUUCACGGUAUGGAACUACCCCAUGGCUUAAUUAGAGAUAUCCUCGAGAAACUACCGGUGAAAUCUCUGUUAAGAUUCAAAUCCGUGUCAACGCAAUGGAAAUCUACGAUUGAAUCUGCAUAUUUUAAGAAAAAACAGUUGUUAUAUAGUCAACUACAAGAUCCAGAUAUCCUUAUCACCAAUCGCUUUGAAGGUGAAGAUAAAGAACAUGUAACAAGGAUGUUCACGAUAGGUUCGUCGGAUUUGAUCAAACUGCCUAAUGUUUGCCCUGUGCCUAUGCCAAUUCCCUUGGAGAACAAAAAAUCAUCGUUUUGUUAUACCUAUUCCGUUUGUGGUUGUGACGGUAUGAUAUGCUAUUACAAUUACUUCACUUGUAUAUAUCUAGUCAAUCCUAAUACUAGAUGGUUACGAAGUGUUCCUCAAGCGGGGCAUCAAGAAGCUGCUCUCAAGGUGAUGAAUAAAAUACAUGGAACCUGGACGGAAGAUAACGAUGGCAUUUUAUGUAAUCUAGGAUUUGGCAAAGACAAGUUCACAGGCAGAUACAAAUUGGUUUGGUUAUAUAAUUCAUUUGAGUUUACUCUAAGUAACACUACAGUUUGUGAAGUUUAUGAUUUUAAUAACACCAACACUUGGAGGUAUGUGACUGCUUCUCCUGUCCGUAUUUUUGAUGAACAAGCUCCAGUACACUUAGAUGGAUCACUUUACUGGUUCACUGAUGAGUAUAUCACAGACACAAAAGUAUUAUCUUUCGAUAUCCAUACAGAAAAAUUUCACAUGAUCGCAGAAGCUCCAUUUUUCGAAGUAGAUGAGAAGGAAAUCAUCAUGUGCACUCUGAAUAACCGUCUAUGCGUCUCGCAGAAGGAGUGGCCAAAACAAGAGAUUUGGUCACUAAAUAAUUCAGAUAUGACUUGGGAGAAAAUAUAUUCGUUAGAUCUACAAACUGAUUAUGAUUGGUUUACGGAUUAUCUGCCACCACCAUGCACUUAUUCGCCAGAUGUUGUUCCAUGUGCCAUUCCUGUCGCGGUUUUGAAGAACAAGAAGAAAACACUAGUGCUUUAUUAUCCUCGUGCGAAGAAUCCGAAUCUUUUAAUGUACGAUCCUGAAUCAAGAUCAUAUGAUUUAUGUUUCGUACGUGAUUACAUAGUACAUUCUUGCGAGAGUUCAUUUUCUUGUUUCCCAAGUUUGAUGUCAAUUGUAUAAAAAAUAAUAAUUAAUUUUGAGAUAUAUUAUAGUUUAGUAUCCUAGUUGUUGUUUAAUAAUAUAUCUUUAACUUAUUUGCCUUGCGAAAGCCAAAUAAAAGGGUUACUCGCAAUUGUAGUUUAUGUUACAUGCAUGGUUUGAUUUGACAAAUCAUGUUCACCAAGCAUGUUAUUUAUCUUGUCUAAAGUUUCUCCACUCUAUCUUGAAGUGAAAGUAUCACGGUUUUGGUUCCUUUUUGUGAUGACUACAACUCUGCUUGUCUGGAACCUUCAAACUCAUCGUGCCAAAGUAAUGGCUUUUCUUUGACCUUGGUUGUAUAAUCUCUCGGUAACUAUAGAGUACCAUGUCCCUCUAUCUUCCUUCAUCACUGUCCUACAACCGUGUCAGCAGACCAUGCAUCUUCCUCAAGACAUGGCCUUUAUGAUAACACCUCUAACCUUUCUCUUCCUCAAAAUAUCAUCAAUGUUUAUGCUGAACAAAUUUAAGAUAGAGAAAUGAAAAGGAAAACUCAAACUAAAUUACAAGCACAUCAUUACUAAUGUGAGAUGAGAAAAAUCAGGUCUCCACAUAAGAAAAUGCGUGUGAGGGAAAGAAAAAAAAGAAGAUGGUUUUUGGGCCAUGGCACAUGGCAGCCUGGCCUGUAGCAACACAUAUAAGCUUUAGUUGAUUAUGACACUGGAGACCUUUGUGUUUAGAAUCUCAGUUGCUUUAUACCUCACGACAGUGGUAGUUUGGGCCAGGAAGCUGAGUUGAAUAGAAUGUUAUAACACGGAGAGAACUGUAAACAGAAACAUCGAUAAAGUGAAAAAUUGAUAAGACUCAGCAAGCUUGAACCAUAGUAACUAGUAAGGCAGGGGAAUUACAAUUAAGAAUGCUACAACUCUGCACCAAAUCAAGACGGUGUAUAUUAUUUUGCUUUUCAGGAUGAAUGGAUGGAAAGUCCACUGCAAUAAAUGCCCAAAGAGUAUCCAUAUCGGAAUAUAACCAUGUAAUGGCUGCUAACUCUGACAAAGUUCUGAAGAAACUAUGUGACUCACCAGGAAAAAGGAAACAAAUACACUAGUGAACACAGUCUCACUUAUGUAGCUUCUCUCUUGACCAAGCUCCUAUACAAUCGGGGAACAAAGGCAGUCUGAGCAUAUAUAUAUAGCUGAAAGGUCUGAGACAAACCGGAAGAAGAAAGAAGCCAAGAUCUUGGAGAGUGGGUCCUGCGCGAUGAAUAGAAUGAACUCCUCUAGCAGCUAAUUAAACCAUGAAUGUACUGCACAACAUAACAAAAUGCAAUUCACAAAGCACAAACUCAUAAGUAAAAUCCCAGAGACGAAAAAGCUACAUUAACCACAAACUAACACACAAAAGCCACCUCUCUUUGGUUAAGAAAAAACAAUCCUACUAACAGUGUUUCUGCUGAAAAGAAAAAGAAAAAAAAAAGAGUAAAGGUUCUCUCAAAAGUUACCAUGAUCAGACAUUCACAAAGUGUCAAAACAACACAACCAUUGAUCAGACUUCAACAAAAAGAAACAGGAGUCAUCAUUAAGUAAAGCUCACUGUGAAGAAACACAUCUCGGAAAGUCAGGAUCAACGUAAUAAACAUUUUACAAUUUUCACAAACCAACAGUCAGCAGGAUCAACGAGAUCAUAAGCCUGUUACAUUUGCUCUCACCUAUGAUCCACGAUUCGUUUUUCUUCUUUAGAGGUUGAAUUGAGUAAAGAUUCGGACAGAACAUUUCAGUUUAUCAAUCUGCAAAAUAAAGAAUGAAAAUUCUGACCCACGUCGAAACCAACAUUUAAAUAGCUAGGAAUUAGGUAUGUGAGGUCGAACAUUAGUGACAUCAAGGCAAUAUGUAACAGAGUUCAAAUGUUGCCAAAUAAAUCUUUGUAUUCCAAUAUUUUUGAAAAACAAGCUAAUAAUCAGUCUUUACGGUAAGAAAACUAUGUAUGGGACAGUUACAAACAAACAAACCAACAAAAGCGGAAAAAGUUUCGAGUUUUUUACCUUCUCACUGUGGCGUUGAAGGGAAUCACCAUUUCUUAAUGAUUUCUUCUUCAGUAAGAGUGCUUCUAGCUUCGAACAACCCAAGUUUUUGGCACAUCUCACAGGGAUUGAUUGAUAAAUCAGAAAUGUAUACAAAAAUCAUGAAGAUACUUGCAAUAAAGAUUUCUUAGUGUGUGAAAAAAAAAAAAAAACUACAAUAUUAAGACUUAAUAAGCACGGUUCUAUAUAUACAAAUAAAUAACAGCAACAAUAGCUGGAAACCCACUAAGCAACAGACAUAAAAAAAUAACAAACAAAGUGGUUUCAAGUUUCUCUCGGGUCCGCUUUUCGAGGAGCCGUUUCAAGCAAGAAGCUCCGGCGGCAUCACCGCCAUUCCGCGUCCGCUCCGUGUCGUCGUCCUGCAUUGUGAAGAUGUAUAUUCUGUAUCAGUUCGUGAAGUACUACAUGAGGUUUCGGGUCUCUUCUUCACUGUAUCUAUCCUCAAGCCUCCAUCAUGUCUUGCGUUGGUCUCUCCACCCCUUCGUAUAGCUGAGCUCCGCUGGCCAGAUCUAUUGUCGCACACACCGCCACCCUUACCUCCUCUGGAACAAGCUCCUAGACGAGAGGUCGUCCCACUGCUACGCCGUCUCGAGUCUCCUAUGUCGAGCUCACAGGCGAACUUGUUUCAUCUCUCUCCGAGCAAGAUCCCGACAUCCUAACACAUUUCCUGGCCCAGAAGGUUUUUUAUGUGGUCUCCUACCACGACCCCAUCCACCACUCCAUUCGACAAAGUUCUUGUGCCUAUCAGUAUCAUAUACAAUUAUCGAAUGGAAGAUGGCAACAAUAUCAACAGCUGUACCUUAUUUACUCAAUGAUGCUCAUGUGGCUGAACUGAGUUCUGAGUUCUGAGUUCUGAGUUCGAAGACCGGCAGCUCGACAAACUUUCAUGGCUCCAUCAGGGUAAUGCUGGAACUAGAAGCUUUUGUCUUAACUCAAUGUUAGCUGCUGCCUUAGAAGUCCUCCUCAAGCUCUACUCUAAUUUCAUUGUCGUGGAUGUGGCCAUAUUCCCACUAUUGGAUUCAACCUAGUCCAUUUGUUCAAGCCACUGUCAUAUGUACUCAUCUUCUUCGAAUAGCUUUGUUCACAGUGUGCUCUUCUGCGUGCUAUUCAGCGUCAAAUACAAGUCAGUUAGGACUUUGGUCUCUUCUUAUUGCUGUAUCAACGUCGAUUUCGACGUUCUUUAGGUGAAACUUCUCCAUAGGUUUCAUUCAUCUUGCUGAGCUUGACUCGCCUCUUAUAGGCUUUACCUUUCUAUGUUUCGUAAUUUUUUUUUUCUACUUCGAGCAUGUCUCCCGUUAAACUUUCAUGUUUUUUGAACUUUUAAUAUAACAAAAAAAAGAUAUGGAAACCCAGACCAUAACUAAUGAGCUUGGUCUUCAGUAUCUAUUCUGAGACAUGCACAAAUGAGAAUUGAAACGAGGGAAAGAAAAAUUUUGAAGACUUGGAGGCUGUUAAAACUCCACGCAAAGCUUCAGCCAGGAAAAUUCAGAGAGUGUAUAAAAGAUUCUGAUCCAAUAAUACCUUGUAAGAUCAGCACUGGUUUUAAGCCCUCCAGUUGCACCUUGGACAUAUUGCAGAAGUUCCUUGCGCUUUGCCUAGAAAAAAAAAAAAAAAAAAAAAAGAAGAAGAAGAUAAAGAUGUUGAAGUUAGCUUGAAGAAACCUUAAGCAACAAGUUAUUUGAUUCCUAGUUGGAUUAUGAAUUGGUUUUCGGAUAAUGAUCAUAAUAUGUUUUAUGGUUUUUGAUUGCCUUAUAAAUAAUAAAAUAAGCUUUAGUCAUUAGACAAAAAGCGUGUGAGUUGUUGUGUGAUUGAGAGAACUUGAUUAAGUUUACUUGAUUAAUUGAAUAAGAGAAGGACUUCUUAUUAAUCUUGUGUUUCAAUAAAAAGAGGCAUUACGAAGUGAAAGAUCUCUAGUGGCCUUAUUCAUCUUGCGAGCUAGCAACAGAGUCUACGCAACAAAACACCUAUAUUUCUAAAUCCAGCACAUCAUUACAAGAACUUCAUCCUUGUAUUUCGAAAACACCGCUGCUAAGUCCUGCACGUUUUGAAUCACUGCUUCGUGGACUUCCUUCUCUCCAGACAAAGAGAGCUGAAAUGCAAGUUUUCGUAUACUAGUGUAGUAGAAUGACUGAAGUACAGCUUAUCAGUGGGAGAUAAAGCAUCGCCCAAACGGCUCCAGAAGCAGCUGGAGUUCUUCCUCAUUUGGUGACAGAGAAGACUUAAAACUCAGUAAAUAAACAUUAGAAAGUUCAAUCAAUAUCCGCUAUUGCAGUACUUUAGAAUCAAACGGUGAAUCUAAUAAUCUUAAAUUUGCACUGAAGUUUUAUUUCUUCUUAAAGUAGGGUCCGGAACAUGUUAAAUUAUUCUCUUUUGGAGAGCAGAUCACGUGUUGCCUAUGUGAGUUUCAACCACUUAGUACAACAACAAAAAGGGAAGUGAUAUGGUAUUAUAUAGUAUUUUCUUACAUCAUAUUUAUGAGCAGGAAACUAGUGAGUAUGUUCUUCCAUAGUUCUUAAUUGCUGCUGUUGCUGUUGCUGAGACACUGAUCCAAGUACUGUUCUCCAAGAACCAAAGUCACCUCUUCAUCAGGACAAGGGAGGUUCGGCAAAGGAACAAGCUCAAUCCCAUGAGCACACACAAAGCCUCUCUAGUGCUUCCUCUGCAUCCUGUGAGGCCCCCCACAAACCCAAACGGAAACAAUCUAUCACCUCGCCUUUGAAUGCCCGUUCAUGUAACUCCUCAUCGGCUGCAUCUUCCCAAGAGCAUUCUCAGGCCUCUCUUUGAACACCCACAUGUACAUGUUCUCCAUAUCGUGCUGAACAAGAAACACAUCAAGCUUCAGAUCAGACUCGUCGUAUAACAUAAAGUUCUCUACUGUAACCAUAAAUUAAAGGAGUCUCCUUUGUCUCCGGUGAGAUGAAGCAACUCCUAACAAUGGAAUCGUAUAAUAUACAGUUCUCUACUUUACCACAUAACUUCUCUACAAGCAACCCCACAAGACCGGAACUUGAAGAAGGAUAUGGAAUCUGAUUAAGCCUUUUAAGGCACACAGGGAGAGAAGAAAAAGUAAACGCCUUUGUUUAACUAAGCAGAGGUGAUCACUGCUCUUUGCCAACACACCGACAACAGAUCUGAGUUCUUUCUUCCUCUAGAGAGAGGGAGAGAUACGGUCCGGAGUAAACGUUUGCCUUGGAUGCAACCGUGGAAAGUUUCUGCCGUUACGUAACAGUGACGAUUAAUCAAUAUUAUUAAAACAGGAUUAUUGCUAACUUUUGCCCUUAUAACUGCGUGGCAUAUUACUUAUUCUGCCAUUGGUUUUUCAAAGAGUUAAAAUUUUCAUUAAUGGCAUAAUCAUAAUUUGCUUAAUGGACUAACAUAUUAAUCUAACCACAAAAAAUUGAAACCUACUUUAAUAACCGUUUGAUGCGUAUAUGUUUAAUGUAUCCUCCUUUAUGAACUCAUUUAUAACCGUUUGCUAUCAAUUUAUUUUCUUAUCAAAGAGUUUUUUUUUAAUAAAGAAUUGCUUGACAGGUUUUACACGAUUCUAAUAAUAAUAGCAUUAAUAGUUAAUAUUAAAACUUAUAAAGCGGGUGUAUAUCCUAUACUACUCUACUCAAAUGGUAUAUUACAUAGUAUAUGGUUUAAAUAUGUUUACAUUAUUUUUUUUCAAAAAAAUAAUUAUUUACAUUACAUGCAACAGAUCGUUCCAAAUUAAACUUUGUAUAUCUUAUAUUAUUUUAUUCAAAUAGUAUACUACAUAGUAAAUGAUUUAAAUAUGUUUACAUUACAUGCAACAAUAUAGUACCAUUCGAUUUUACCAUAUUGAACAACCCUAAUAGAAACUAUGUCAUUAUAAUAUAGAUUGUUAUUAAUUAAUUUAAUUAUCCUGGAUUCGACCAAAUGUUACAUGAUUACAUAGCCUUUCCUUUAACAGACCAAAUUCAUAGAACUAGUCUACUUAUCCAGCGUGACAAAAAAAAAAUUAAGAAGUCUGUAUCAUAUGACUUAAACGUUCCAACCACUAACUGCAUGCUUUCUAUUUGUGGAGGCUUCACACUCGAUCCUUUCUUUUCUUUUUUGUUUUUGGAAACCUGAUAUCCUUUUUAGCAAAAUCUUGUUCUACCUACAUGUCAAGAAUACAUAUACAAAAUUUCAUAACUAAUUAAUGAGAUUGUUAAACCAGCCUAAAUUUUACCCAAUUAAUCAUUCACUUUAACAUUUUGUUGCAUGUUUUCACACGUUACAUGGCUAUGCCUAUGCAUGGCAUGUCAUGCAGAUCCAGAUUCCGAUCUCCCGUGCGUGUUCGACUCCACCGAGAGUAGCUACACCCGUCCGGUCAAUUUCAAACCAACUUUUCACAAGAACUUUAAAAAUAGAAAUAUGCACAUAAACAUUCAUCAUCGAAAGACAAUGUUAUUAUAUAUCAUGUAUCACGAAGGAUAGUACCAUACAUUGGUCACAUAUAUAUCUAUAGCAUUAUUGCAACUUCACAAGUAAGACGACGCCCAUUAAUUAAACCGGACCCGGAGCCGGAGCAGGAGCCGGGAGAUUCUGCAAAAUCUCCGUCAUCCUCACCUCAUCCACGACGUUCACCAUCGUUGUAUUAGCUCCCGCUGCGAUCAUCUCGAGCUCAUUCACCUCCUCUCCCGUCGUGAUUCCGACGAUAUAAACCGUCGGGUUUAUAUCGCGGAAAACCUGCGUCAAGUGCACGUCAUCCACCACCACGACUUCUCUAAGCAGUUCUUCGUUCUCUCUCACCGUCUCCUCCGCUAUGUCGAGCUGAACGAAGGUGGGCGAUCCUCCGGCAUUAUCUACCGCAAACAAAUUGACGAGUUUCAGCACCCGCACUGACUCCACGAUCAACACUAACGGGCGGCGGCGCUCCAUUUUGUAUAGGUUUAGUUUGUGUGUAUGUAAGUGUUAAUUAAGUGCUCGUGUCUCGUCCUUUUUAUAGGCAGUAGUUCUUAUAGUGGUUGUGCAUGAAUCGAUUUCACCUACUGGCAGUGGAACUUUUUGGACCGGAGUCAAAUUUUUUAACAUAAUUACUAAAUUAUGUGAAAACUAUAUUAAACGACCUUCCAAACUUUUUUUAUUACAGUUUCAUUAACUACAUUUUUAAAUUUUGUUUCGAUAAAAAAAAAUAAUUUUUUUAUUCCAACCAAUUACCAUAUUAAUCAAACUGAGAAUGAUAAAACAGAUUUGAUGUAUUUUUUUAUGAGUCUUGCUUUAAAAUUAUGACCAUGAGGUUGACAAAGUUCUCAAGUUAAAUAUUUUUGUUUUACCUUGUCUCUUUCAUUGUAGUGAUAUCACAUUUUCUUUUCACCAAGACCAUCUAGAUAAAUUGAUAAUUAUUUAUCUAAUUAAUAAAAAAAUAGCUCAUUUCUCAAUAUGAAACUAGCUGUUAAAAAUAUUCAGAAUAUAAACAUAAAUCUUAAAUACUUUUAUUGAAUUUGAAUCAGUGAAUCAUAAUCAUCUUUAGUUUGAUAAAUAAAUAAUCAAAACACAAAAGUAUAAAAUAAAGAAGAAUCCGGAACCGACCGGAUCAGCCGAUAAGUUUAUGAAAAAAAAUAUAAAAUAAAGAAGAACCCAACUUAAAAUUAUUCCAAAACAGGUUUGUCGAAGAAGAGGAGCUUGUUUAUUAAUUUGUUUUUAAUGUUUCUGAUAUAAAUUACUAUACUAUUUGGGCCUAAAAUAAUGACGAAAGUGAUUGUUGCAAUCGAGAUUAUAAAACAUGUUAAUUCCAUAUUUAGAUGAAUUUUAUUAGAGAAAAACUAACAUUUUUCUAUAGCAUUCAUCUAUUUUAAAAGGUAUUAGAACUUGACCCGCCCGACCGGACGGGUAUUUGUUUUAUGUUUUAGAUUUUUGUUUAUACUAAAUUGUGUAUUAGUAGUAUUUAAACAUAAAUUUAGAUUGAAAAUUAAUAUUUGCAGGUUAUAAUUAAAAUUAAAAAUUAAUAAAUAUUCUGAUAUAAAUUUUAAAUCUCCUAUUUUUUCUAAUUCCAAAAUAUUAGCAUCCCUUAAAAAACAAAUAAAAUAAAAUUACAAAUACAUAUAAUAUAUAAACAUAUUUAGAAUUAAUUUCUAUUAAAAUAAAUUUGUUAAGGAAAUAUAAUCUUGAGUUGUCGUUGUUUAUUUCUGUAGCUUGUAAUGAAUUGCUCUUAUUUAUAGAUAGGCCAAAAACAUUGAUUAUUAAGAUGUCUAUCAAGUAUACCUAGAUUUUUUGAACUAAAGGAUAAAUUUUGGAAAAAAGUUGAGAUUUAGGAAAGAUAAUAAGUUAGAUAUUAUGUGAUUUUGGAAGAUCGAUCUUAAAGUUAGUAUAUGUGUGGUUUCUGGUGUGAUAUUGAGUAAUGGCUGUGAUCUUAGGUUGGCGAAAACGGUUUAUUUUCAAAAUCUAUGUAUAUUUUAGCAGAUACUCUAAAUAUACCAUAUUCGAAAGACAUUUAUAAAUUUUAUACCAAAAUUAUUUGGUAUGGCCGAUUCAGUUUAUUUUAUCCAAUCCCAGUUUAGUUUUUUAUCCAAUCCCGGUUUAGUUUAAUAAUUGGAAAUUUUAAAUUGUAUAGUGUACGUAUACCAUUCGUAGGUCGAGAGAUAAAGUAGAAGUGGGUCAUUCUGUAGGGAAGAAGAAACAAACCAAUACAAAUUCAGGUUCGGUGCAAGGUGCAACAGAAUGUUUUUAGAAUCUUACUACAAUUUAAUAAUAUGUUUAUCAUGGAUUGAAUCGGUUUCAAAACUAUGUCCUUAGAGUAUGAAUUAAAUUAAAUUAGAAUUAUCAAUAAUGGAGUGUACCGGUUUUAAACGUGAUACACAUAUGAAAUACAAAAUGGAAAUAUAUCACAUAAUACGGUCGGUUUAGUUACAAGUUAUUUUAUGAUAAAUAACGUCAAUUUGUUUACGGUGAUUUAGGAAAAAAUUAAAAGGAUAGAUUUUUAAAGCCAGUGGCAAUCAAAUGUAAUUAUUUGGCAAAAAUUAGGGGUAAAUACUAAUUGUACUUUAAUUUUAAUAGUUUAGAUUUUCUAUAUAUAGCAUUUAUAUGAAAUAUCAUUUCUCUUAAUAUAUAAAUGCUAUAUAAAAUUUUCUUUUUUGUCAUCAAUUUUUAAAUUCUCUAAUUUUGAAUAUCCCACUAUAUAAAAACAACUAAAUUGAAGCAAUUUUAGACAAACCACAUCAGCAUAAAUAUUCAGAGCCAAUUAAACUGCCAUGUCACUGAUAGAAUCUCUUUUUUAUUGUCUUCUUUUGCUUCCUCUUCCUUUCGAUGAAUAAAUCUUCACCGGUUACAAAUUAUUUACUGCUUCUUCAAUUUACUAACGCCAUCAGAUCGACACCUCUUUACCUUUCCUUACCCUCCCCAUCCUCGCUAUAUACUAGUGGCUAGAUUCAAGUCAGAUAUAAUCCUCACAACCAAUCCAGACACAAUCACCAACCCACCAGGCAAAGCAAAAGACCAACCCCAUCUGGAAUCAAGCACGGAAGAAGCAACAAUGGAACCAACAAUCUUCCCAACAUAUGUAUGAGAGUUCCAAACACCCAUAAUCAACCCACGCUUCUCCUUCCCACACCAGUUCGCAACCACAGAGACAACACAAGGCCACCCGAUAGAUUGAAACAACCCACAAACGAUCUGAAUAGUCAUGUAAAACCCGAGAAGAUGCACGUUCAUCCAAUACCCUAACCCGAAGACAACGGUGAGGAUCCCACUUCCCAUCAUCCCAAACACGAGAAACAGCCUCAGAUCGAUCAUAUCUCCUAAAUGCCCUGCGAAAUACAUACUGAGAGCGUAGGAAGAUAGGAACGCUAGAUCGAGCUCGCCGAGUCUCUGCAUUCCUUCGGUUCCUUUGAACGGAGCCCAUCUGUUGUCGAUCGGAGAGUUUGAUUGUUCGUUGACGGAAUGUCCGAGGACGCUCUUGACGAUGCUCGGAGGUUUGCGAGAAGCGUGGAACGAAGCGUAGGCUAGGAAGGUGAUGAUGAGGACGAGGAUUUGGUGGAAUGUGAAGGUUUUGUUUAAGCUUGGGAAGAGAGAAAACGCUGGAGGUAAGCCGCCGCCGCCGAUCUUGGAUUGCAUCUUGAAUCAAUGGUGGAGCAUUUCUUGAUUCGGAAUAAAAAAAAAAGAGUUGAUCUUUGAGAUUGUUUUUGCUUUAUUUUCUCACGGUAGGUAAUGGGUUGCUACCAGAUUUCUUCAAGGCGAAGGACUCAGGGAGAUUUUUUCAACUUAUUAUAAAUAAAUCAUUUUGGUCAAAGGGUUGCGUAAAGUUGAAAUCAUUUUGGCUAGAAAAAACACGAUAAAAUAAUUUGUGAUAUGGUCCACCAAACUCCAAAGCUAUUGUAUGCCAAAAAUAUUAAAAAAGUAGAAAAGAAGUGAUGUACUACGUUGAAAAUCUUAUUUUAUUGCAAGUUAAGAAUAAUAAUAUUGAUAACUUUGUUACGGAGCACCGACAAACAUCGCUUAUUAGCAAAAAGAUUUUGCAACAAUAAAUUUUCUCUUUUUUUGAUAAAAAUAUAAAAUUAAAAUAAUUUUAUUUGUUACACUGCUUGGCCUAUAAAAGCAGUCAGAAUUUUUCUAAAGAUAUAUUUACACACAUUUUGGUGAAUACCAUAAUCGUUAUUUAAGAGGUGUAUAAUUUUGAAUUUGUAACAAAAAUAAAAAGCUACUUUUAUAUAAAAAAUAAAAGACUACAUUAUAUUUACUUUUUUCGUACAUGUACUUCGAAUUUGCAAGAUUAUUUAACCUAUCUACACCAACAAAACCUUUUGAUAAAUAAUGCAAUGUCGAUUUCGGUUAAGGCUAACUCAUAUAAAAGAUAAUAAUGUCUAGAUUCCCAUAUAUUUCAUAUCUAUAUGUGAAAUAUCAUUUUAUGUUCAUCAUCAUGUUCAUCAUCAGUGACAUCAUUAAAGCAUACAAAAGUACUGAAUUAAAAAAAACAUAUAUAUCUCUUGGUUUGGUUUUGUUUGAUCCAUGAAAGAAUAAAACAGUUAAAAUAUUAUUUGAGGCAUUGGGAAGAAACAACAAAAGAUGAGGUUGAAUCCAUCUAAGCCUCUUCGAAAAUCUUUUGACCUUUUUUCGAUACCAAAAUAAUCGAGAUUAUUGCGUACAGAUCAAGUCUAUAUUUUUAUUAUAUGUAGUCUAGCCAAACGAUAUAUCUCACAGCCUCACAUAAUUGAUUUUAUCAUAGGUGUGUGAUAAAUGAUUCUUUGUGAUUAUGUCUCUUUGUUUGUUACUUACCAUUCUCUGUGUUUUUUUCAUUCAUAUUUUUUUAUCUCAAUUAUCCUUUUAAUUUUUUGUUUUAUCAUCAUAUUAUAUAUUUGCUUUUAUUUAAAGUACUACAUAAAUAUUGAAGAAAAUAUUUUGAAUACAUUAUUCAUUACCAUUUUCAUAAGAAGAAUUCAAAAAUUAAAAAGAUGGCCUACAUAAAAGUUUACUAAAAUUUAUGCAAAAAACUAUUCCAAAUUAAUUUAUUUCUGUAAUAUAUAUAGUUAAAUUAAUCACAAAAUAAAAAUACUAAAAUAUAUAUUUCUAAAACAAAUUUAAACAUAUCAUGUUACAAAGUAAUUAAAAUAAAAUUUUAAUCGUAAAGAUGUAAUCCGCGCGUAGCCUUGCAUGAUUUAGUUGAAAACCCUAAUUGGGAAUGGUGUGAGUGUUGAUCUUAUUUCUGCUUUUUGUUAAUUUCACAUUAAAGAAAUAUGUAUUUCUGACUUUAGUCGUCUGAAAAAGAAACUGGAAAACAAAAACAACUUAAGUUAGCGAGAAGCACUUUCCAUUAUUAUCUCUCUUCCCCAACUCACAAUAAUAAUACCAUAGACGCCGGAGCCGUCGUCCCGAUGUCAUCUGCUACAACUCCCUCCACCACUUUCCCCGGCACAACCAUCACUUCCAACUCCACAUUCAUCAUCAUCGAUCCCCCUCCACCGUUCCCAGCACCUCCUCGGAGCAUCGACUUCACUCCUAUCAAACUAAUCUUCGCCGUUCCCGCCUUAGUUUACUCCUAUCAAACUAAUCAUUCAGAGGAGAUCGGUAACGAAUGCACCUUGUGUAAGUCGGUGCUC
rnacentral:lncRNA from 1 species